UCCUUUCCAAUCCAAUGUGGUUUAUUAUUAAAUAAUUACUGACGUAAUUAAAACUUUUUUCAAUAGCCAUAUUAUAAUAAAAAGCUAUAUACAUAUAUAUGAAUAUAUAUAUAUUUGUGUGUUUGUGUAGAUAUCUAGAUUAUUAUAUACUUUCUUAUAGAAAACUUUGGUGUUGACCAUUCUCCUCGUUGUUUUGAGAACACGUUGACACAUUAAACACGAUGCUACUGUCCGACCUGGACAACUAAUCCAAAAAAUACAAAAAAAAAAAAACAUCCUUCCAAAGGGAAUUACCCUCGUCAGAAUGCAAUACCUUUCUUCCCAUUCUUCAUUUCAGAAUAAGAAUGGACAAUGGCAAGAAAACCACAAAACUUGAUGGGCAAGUUGACCAAAAAAAUAAAACUCCAACAAUAAAGAGCGCGGCUCGUUUUCCGACCGACCGCCUCGAGUCCAGUUUUAUAGACGUUGUCGUUUUCGAUGCCAUUGGCCCACGAAGGAAAAACCCAGUUCUUUGUGUUUAUCUGUUUUAGUUUUUGGAAAACAAUGUAUCCGUCGGCUAGCUACACCGUUACAUUCAGCCCCUACCGGGAACGGAGUGCUUGCAAACACCGGCCUCAGAUUCCACUUCCACGUCUGCUCGGCAACAGUUGUACCACACACACAAAACAACGGGCCACACGUCGAACUCGAUAGCAACACUGAUGUCAAAUAGGCACUUAAUAGGGACUGCAAACUGUCAAAGUGGGUGUUUUCUUCUUCUUUUUGUGGAAGACAUUUUUUUGACAUAAAGGGCAUACGUUGCUUUCUGUAGUUUUUCAUUUCAAUUGAUUUUAUUGUCUCUUUACAUCUAAUGACUAUCAAAUUCACAUAAUGUUUUUUCUUUUUUAACUUAGUUUUUGGUAAAAACAAAAAGGUAAAUACUGCUAGUGAGAUUUUAUAUUUUUACAUAUGUUGGUUUUAUUUUGCGUUUCUUUUUUUAUUUAUAUGCCAUUUAGUUUGGUCUUUCAAUGGUGUUUUUUUUCUCUCCUUUUUGUGUGAUUUAAUAUGUCUUGAGAAUGUGGAGACAAAGGCAUUUCAGUAUUUUUGAAUUGUUAAAAUCUAGUUUCAUAGAAGCGGAAGUAUCUGAUAUUAUAAAUUAUAUUUUAAUUCAUGUAAAUGGUUUAAAACAGAAGACUAUGGCUUCCUUUUAAACUGAAUACAUUUCUCUUCAGAGAUUGUUUACAUUAUGAAACUGUAGAGACGUGCUCCUCAUUUACUGUAUAAAGUACAUAUAUACAUUGAUUUGCCUCAAAAAAAUAAAAUCCUAAUGAACAGCUUUCUUUCGGUGCCCGUGUUGAUUUCGGGAGACGAUGGGUCACACUUUCGUUACUUCGAGGGACAACGAACACGAAAAGACCAAAAGAAACAAUUCCACUCAUUCUGCAAAUCGCUUAAAUUAGGCACUGUGUUUUCCAGCAGAUGUGAUUCGACUAAAUCUUUUUGACAACGUUUAAUCGUUUGUUAUUUUUAAAAUCACAUACAAAAUCAUUGCUUUACUGUUGGGUUAUUAACAACAAACCAGGCUUAGUUAGGUCAAUUUUUCAGCAUAGGUCGCCAUAGUUACCAAGCUUCAACGAUGCCGGAUUUACCUCUUGGAACCAAAUCAUAUAUUUCGUUAGCUACUUGCAGCUACAACAGAUCGUCCCUUUCAGUCGGCAUCAAUAACAACGACAGAGAUGAACAGAUCUUGUGAGCAGCUAUAAUGUCUCCAGACUGACUGCCUGCACACUACCAGACCAUAUGCCUGCAUGCCAACACAAGGCAGCACGUGUUGGGAUCAGCCUGUCCACGCUGUGGAGAGGUUCAGCUUCAUAAAGCGCACACGCACGCUAAUGGCCGCUGCCUCCCUCCAGUCUUCCUCUGGUUAAACAGCAUCCUAUUAACAGGCCGCUGGCAAUUUUCCGCCCGGCUAGACUGUGAUUCGCGUGUGAGUGACUGCGCUGAUGAUGUCUGUGCGCGAGGGACAUCGCUGAUCCGCCACCGCUGUACUGACGGCCUGCUGUCAGUCCCGCGGCGGCAAAGACACGCGCCAUCUUUUAUGUUCUCACGAGAGAGCCACCGUCAGGAGAAAGGCAACGGAACAGAGGAUGGAGAGGAACCAUCAUCCCCCUGGUGGCAAGAAGAAAGGAUGAGGUUAAGAAUGAGAAUAAAUGUGAUUUUGUGGAAGGUAAAAUAUGCAGGAUGGAUCUCAGGCACCUCGAAAGUCGCUCAGUGAAAAGAUUCAGAGUCACUUCAAACGGCUGCCGACACACACGUCUUCUGCUACGUUAAUGCUCCCAACGUCGCUCUGAGGAGCCAUUGAAACGAUGCAAACCCACCAGACAGCUCAAGCGCUCGUGCAGCAGAUCCCAAACAUUCACACAUUCAAUCUGGAACAUUUAGUUCUGGGGACUCUUUGAUAUAUUUGUUUUCAGUCCGACAGGCCUUACGCUCCAGCAACGAGGCCAUUGCUGCUAUUGGUAGCUGCUCCUCAGAUUGAGCUGGUCAGCUCACCUUAUUGAUCAAGGAGAACAUUAAAGAUACACCCAAAAGUUCAGCUCUGAUUUGGGAUUUCGGCAUCCGGAGUCUGAUCGCCGCUUGGUGCUGCUUUCAGGGGGAUCGGAGCCCUUUGCUCAAGAAAAAUAAUGAGAAAUCACUACGACCAGCUGGAAGCGGCCCAGGUGUGUCGAGCUGAACAUUGCAGUGGUCGUGCUCAGUUGGUUUGGAACCGAAAAACACUUUUCAUUUCGUAAACACGCAAGUCUCAAACAAGCCUCCUCGGCUGUGAACAAGAGUCUGAAAUAGUUUUACCUGCGUGGCCUGCAGCUCACUCCUAAUAACAAGGGGGGGGGCAUUCAUUGUUUUUAUGGCCUCUCAUUCCAACUGCAUCAGGUGCUGGAUUGCCCCCCGACACAAAGAACCCUUCUGCUCACGAUCUGAUGAAGCCAGCAGAACUACAUCGUUUGUGAAAGCGAUGUCACCCAAAGGACGGCUCCUUCAUUCCGCGACAGACGGCACGAACGAGGCGAAGGGUCUCGGUGGAGACCGCUGCUCUCUACACACGCGCUUGACCUCUGAUAGCAGCAACGCCAGCUUCCAUUUGUUGUCACAAAUCAACCGGAGGAGUCGCACCAACGCGCCCAACCUGUUCUACGGACGGACAGCUUUUCCAUUCCCUCCGACUCGCUGAGGCGCUUUCAACAGACUGAAAUAACCUUCGCGAAGGUGAGAUUUACAGCCAAGCUGCCGCGUUAGACUGCAAUGCCCUUAACUACUUUUACUUUGGUGACUAAUUGUACAGCCCCAAAGCCGGAGUUGCAAGCAGGCGAUCAGGAACGCUCCCGUCAGCCUCCUCCCGUCCCCCCGCUGUCCUCUGCCGUCUUGUUUCUGCAGGGCAGUCGUGACUGCAGCAAACAGAGCAGCUCCGCAGUGCAGAGUCAUUAGACGCGGUGUCAUCCUCCAAGAGCUCCGGCUUAACUCUGACAGGGACAGAAACACGACUGUCGACUGUAACCCCCCCCCUACACACCACCACCACCACCACCACCACCACCAUCCCCCACGACCCCUCACUUCUGCUCCGUGGGACGCCUGCCUCUCUGUGCGAAUCCGAUCAGUGUAUCGGCGUACAUUUCUGUACAUGGUUGUCUGUCAGGACACUAACUGGACAGAGAACAUGCGCCACUGCAGGACGCAGUAUGAGGUCAAAGGUCACCUUGUAGCACACUGAUAACUGUCAGAUUCAGCGGAUGCUGACCUCGUGCCACACAUACACACAGAAGAUCGACAGAACCAAAGAGCUCUACCUAAAGCGUUAAUAGAUCACUAAUCUCCGGCUGCUUAGUCGUGACCUGCGAUAUUAACAUCAUUCUUGGCCUGAGGCGAUUUGUUUUGAACCCUUUUGAACAUAUUUUAUGAGCCAGACCGGUUGAGCACAGCGGUAUUUGCCGUUACGCCAGCAGACCCAACGUCUUGCAGUUGGCGAUGCGUUGGUUCUGUCCGUGUAUUGUUCGAGAUGUUGGAUAAGCUUCUUAACUGUCCUCAGGAGACACGUUGAUCCGAGCAGCAGCAGCACACAUCACACCUGCCGUGACGGGAGUCCUCAGCCAUCGUGUUCUGCGUGCACUAAAGGGAAGGCGUGAAAGGACAAAUGACAGGGGUCACGUCGUUGCUUUGCACUCUUAAUUACCCCCUUUGUCUUUGGAAACUGGAAACAGUUUUUUAAUCCUUUGUUUUUGUCUCUCCAGGGAUUAAUUUACUAAUCCGGCUAUUAAGUAUAUUAAAUUAAAUUGGCUGUUGAUAACAUUGUAUUAAAUCAAUCUGUGGGCUCUAAUAAAGUAGGUAAUGUAGAUUUAUUUGGGCAUUUUACACAUUGAAUGAACAACAAUCAGUGGUUACAACCUGCACAUGUCAGACAUUUAUAAACCACACAGAAUCGCAAUGUGGCUGCAUCUUGGGAAACUUUGUUUUUAACAACAACAAUGCAUGUAAACAUGUUACCAUUUUAUGGAAUGUCAAUAUAUGUCAACAGGGUGAAUUCAUAAAACAGUUAUUCAGCUGAUCUGGAAUCGGUCAUUAGCUGCGUCCCUGGUUCCCUCCGUGGUGCGACACGCGCGCAACCACCACCGCGCGCCACCAUUCAACACACACACACACACGCACACACACGCACGAGCGUGCGUGCGUCACGAAAUGCUGAUUUCGACGACAUCGCGGCGGCAAAAAGAAAAAGGCGACUUCUUCUGCUUGGAAACUGCGGGCGAUCCUAUAAAUAGUCCCGCAUCGCUCUCUCGGCUGGCAGCUCCGCAGUCACGACUGCCCCCAGAUCAGUGCAGGAACGAGGCUGAAGGCUCCCCGGGUGUACUGCAGCUGCUGCUCCCCCCCCCCUCCCCUCCUCCUCCCCUCUCUCCCUCUCUC
ensembl:lncRNA